CACAGGCAUAAGAAGAAAACGAGACAGAGGGCCGCACUGCAUAACACAGGUUGCAGAUUUAAGUGAACCGCUCAUGCAGUGGCAUCAAAGGUGCGACAGGACGAGUGCAAAAGUUGAAAGUCAAGAGCAACAAAUUUUGGGCAGUGGCCGAAAAGAAGGCGAUACUCUAGGCACUAUUGGUGCAGAUGGUGUCACUUGACUACGAUUUACUGCUGCAUGUGGCUCCGCCCCUUCAAACCAAUCUCAGUGUUCUGAGAUGGCAAUGGGAAACCGAAACGAAAUUGAACUGGUGGGCAAAACCAGAACACGAUGCUGCCAGACCAAACUAUAAUGCUCACUUUCCACUGCCUGGAACAGCGCAGCGCACCCCCUGCUACGCCGACCGCAAUGACAACCGUCUGGCAUGAGUUGAGGAGAUUCAGGGACGCAUUGCUGCGCCACUCCGCAACCUGCAUUGGAUAACUAUUUCGCCUUUUCCAAACCAUCAUCUACGAGGAGUCAUCAUGCUCUAAAUAUCUCAACCUUUUUUGCCUGCAAUAAAUUAUUUAAAUACAGCUUUUUUUCAUCAACAA